rnacentral:rRNA from 1 species
UCCGUAGGUGAACCUGCGGAAGGAUCAUUACAAGUGAGGCUACCGAACGUUGGAAACAGCGGUUAGGAGCUUACACCCACCCGUGUCUACAUACUAUUGUUGCUUUGGCGGGCCGUGGCCUCCACUGCGGGCUCUGCUCGUGUGUGCCCGCCAGAGAACCAAACUCUGAAUGUUAGUGAUGUCUGAGUACUAUCUAAUAGUUAAAACUUUCAACAACGGAUCUCUUGGUUCUGGCAUCGAUGAAGAACGCAGCGAAAUGCGGUAAGUAAUGUGAAUUGCAGAAUUCAGUGAAUCAUCGAAUCUUUGAACGCACAUUGCGCCCUGUGGUAUUCCGCAGGGCAUGCCUGUUCGAGCGUCAUUUAACCACUCACGCCUAGCGUGGUAUUGGGGCACGCGGUCUCCGCGGCCCUCAAAAUUAGUGGCGGCGCCGGUGGGCUCUAAGCGUAGUACAUACUCCCGCUAUAGAGUUCCCCCGGUGGCUCGCCAGAACCCCCAAUUUUUACAGGUUGACCUCGGAUCAGGUAGGGAUACCCGCUGAACUUAAGCAUAUCAAUAAGCGGAGGA